rnacentral:rRNA from 1 species
GACGAACGCUGGCGGCGUGCUUAACACAUGCAAGUCGAACGGAAAGGCCCUGCUUUUGUGGGGUGCUCGAGUGGCGAACGGGUGAGUAACACGUGAGUAACCUGCCCUUGACUUUGGGAUAACUUCAGGAAACUGGGGCUAAUACCGGAUAGGAGCUCCUGCUGCAUGGUGGGGGUUGGAAAGUUUCGGCGGGUGGGGAUGGACUCGCGGCGUAUCAGCUUGUUGGUGGGGUAGUGGCGUACCAAGGCGUUGACGGGUAGCCGGCCUGGGAGGGUGACCGGGCACAGGUGGGGGGUGAGACAGCGCAGACGCCCACGGGGGGGAGCAGUGGGGGAGAUUGCACAAUGGGGGCGAGCGUGAGGCAGCGCCGCCGCGUGGGGGGGGAAGGGCUUUGGGUGGUAAACUCCGUGCGCUAGGGACGAAGAGCGGGUGUGACGGUAACUAGAUAAGAAGCACCGGCUAACUACGUG